GGAUUUCUGUCGUGGUCAUCCGGCUCCGCCUGUAUAGGUGUGCGCCUGGUUUGCCCUCGGCUUUCUUCCGGUAGCCUACCGCGCUUCACUGCGUGCGUGGGUGUUUUCCGGAACUUUUACUUUGAGAAAAAUAGAGUGUUUCAAGCAGGCUUGUCGCCCUGAAUACUUCAGCAUGGAAUAAUAAGAUAGGACCUUGGUUCUAUUUUGUUGGUUUCUAGGACCAAGGUAAUGGUUAAUAGGGACAGUUGGGGGCAUUCGUAUUUAACUGUCAGAGGUGAAAUUCUUAGAUUUGUUAAAGACGAACUACUGCGAAAGCAUUUGCCAAGGAUGUUUUCAUUAAUCAAGAACGACAGUAGGGGGUUUGAAGACGAUUAGAUACCGUCGUAAUCUCUACCAUAAACUAUGCCGACUAGAGAUAGGGAAUCCAUUAGCCCAAUCUUCCCUGCACCUCAUGAGAAAUCAAAGUCUCUGGGUUCUGGGGGGAGUAUGGUCGCAAGGCUGAAACUUAAAG
rnacentral:rRNA from 4 species